rnacentral:rRNA from 1 species
UACGGAGGGUGCAAGCGUUGUUCGGAAUUAUUGGGCGUAAAGCGCGCGCAGGCGGCCUUUCAAGUCCACGGGUGAAAUGCCGGGGCUCAACCCCGAGCACGCCCAGGAUACUGGGAGGCUGGAGACACGUAGAGGCAAGCGGAAUUCCGGGUGUAGCGGUGGAAUGCGUAGAGAUCCGGAAGAACACCGGAGGCGAAGGCGGCUUGCUGGGCGUGAUCUGACGCUGAGGCGCGAAAGCGUGGGGAGCGAACAGG